GUCACAGCCACGGCGCUGUUCGUUCAUGUUCUGACCUAACUCAAAAUGGAAGUUAAUACGAAUACCUCGUAGUGGUCAGAAGAUUGGACCAAGAUGGAGAUGGAGCUUCGUUUGCGUGCAGAAUUCGUGAAUGAAGCUUUGUGAUCUCUGCUGCUUUGGUACAUCAGCCACAGUCCACUCCACGUGAAGGACAACAGGAGGAGCCACAUCAGCCUGCUGGCAGCUCCGGACUAGGUCCUAUCCUCAGCUACGCAGUCAAUGGCUGUCAUGGUGUCAUGGUCUCACCUGUAGAGUGCGUGAGCGAAGAAGGCUGCAGAGCAGUUGCCCACGCUUGGCCAGCAGUUUACCCAG